UACGAAGGGGGCGAGCGUUGUUCGGAUUUACUGGGCGUAAAAGGGCGCGCAGGCGGCCGCAUUUUGUCAGGCGUGAAAGCCCCGGGCUUAACCUGGGAACUGCGUUUGAUACGGUGUGGCUAGAGUUCGGGAGAGGAGAGUGGAAUUCCCAGUGUAGAGGUGAAAUUCGAUAGAUAUUGGGAAGAACACCGUGGCGAAGGCGGCUCUCUGGACCGAUACUGACGCUGAGGAGCGAAAAGCGUGGGGGAGCGAACAGGA
rnacentral:rRNA from 1 species